ACGGUAGCUAAUACCGCAUAACGUCGCAAGACCAAAGAGGGGGACCUUCGGGCCUCUUGCCAUCNGAUGUGCCCAGAUGGGAUUAGCUAGUAGGUGGGGUAACGGCUCACCUAGGCGACGAUCCCUAGCUGGUCUGAGAGGAUGACCAGCCACACUGGAACUGAGACACGGUCCAGACUCCUACGGGAGGCAGCAGUGGGGAAUAUUGCACAAUGGGCGCAAGCCUGAUGCAGCCAUGCCGCGUGUAUGAAGAAGGCCUUCGGGUUGUAAAGUACUUUCAGCGGGGAGGAAGGGAGUAAAGUUAAUACCUUUGCUCAUUGACGUUACCCGCAGAAGAAGCACCGGCUAACUCCGUGCCAGCAGCCGCGGUAAUACGGAGGGUGCAAGCGUUAAUCGNAAUUACUGGGCGUAAAGCGCACGCAGGCGGUUUGUUAAGUCANAUGUGAAAUCCCCGGGCUCAACCUGGGAACUGCAUCUGAUACUGGCAAG
rnacentral:rRNA from 1 species